rnacentral:rRNA from 1 species
GAUUAGCUAGUUGGUGGGGUAAGGGCCUACCAAGGCGACGAUCAGUAGCGGGUCUGAGAGGAUGAUCCGCCACACUGGGACUGAGACACGGCCCAGAUUCCUACGGGAGGCAGCAGUGGGGAAUUUUGGACAAUGGGCGCAAGCCUGAUCCAGCCAUGCCGCGUGUCUGAAGAAGGCCUUCGGGUUGUAAAGGACUUUUGUCAGGGAAGAAAAGCUUUGGGUUAAUACCCUGGAGUGAUGACGGUACCUGAAGAAUAAGCACCGGCUAACUACGUGCCAGCAGCCGCGGUAAUACGUAGGGUGCGAGCGUUAAUCGGAAUUACUGGGCGUAAAGCGAGCGCAGACGGUUUGUUAAGCAGGAUGUGAAAUCCCCGGGCUCAACCUGGGAACUGCGUUCUGAACUGGCAGGCUAGAGUAUGUCAGAGGGGGGUAGAAUUCCACGUGUAGCAGUGAAAUGCGUAGAGAUGUGGAGGAAUACCGAUGGCGAAGGCAGCCCCCUGGGAUAAUACUGACGUUCAUGCUCGAAAGCGUGGGUAGCAAACAGGAUUAGAUACCCUGGUAGUCCACGCCCUAAACGAUGUCAAUUAGCUGUUGGGGCACUUGAUGCCUUAGUAGCGUAGCUAACGCGUGAAAUUGACCGCCUGGGGAGUACGGUCGCAAGAUUAAAACUCAAAGGAAUUGACGGGGACCCGCACAAGCGGUGGAUGAUGUGGAUUAAUUCGAUGCAACGCGAAGAACCUUACCUGGUCUUGACAUGUACGGAAUCCUCCAGAGACGGAGGAGUGCCUUCGGGAGCCGUAACACAGGUGCUGCAUGGCUGUCGUCAGCUCGUGUCGUGAGAUGUUGGGUUAAGUCCCGCAACGAGCGCAACCCUUGUCAUUAGUUGCCAUCAUUUAGUUGGGCACUCUAAUGAGACUGCCGGUGACAAACCGGAGGAAGGUGGGGAUGACGUCAAGUCCUCAUGGCCCUUAUGACCAGGGCUUCACACGUCAUACAAUGGUCGGUACAGAGGGUAGCCAAGCCGCGAGGUGGAGCCAAUCCCAAAAAACCGAUCGUAGUCCGGAUUGCACUCUGCAACUCGAGUGCAUGAAGUCGGAAUCGCUAGUAAUCGCAGGUCAGCAUACUGCGGUGAAUACGUUCCCGGGUCUUGUACACACCGCCCGUCACACCAUGGGAGUGGGGGAUACCAGAAGUAGGUAGGGUAACCGCAA